rnacentral:ncRNA from 2 species
UCGCGUUAAGGAUUGAAGUGGAAAUCCUUUUGAAAGCUGAGCUUGCGAAGCUCAAAAGAUUGAAGCAAAAAGCCUGACCCGCA